rnacentral:rRNA from 1 species
UGGCGGCGUGCCUAAUACAUGCAAGUCGAGCGGAACCAUUGGAGCUUGCUCCAUUGUUUAGCGGCGGACGGGUGAGUAACACGUGGGCAACCUGCCCUGCAGAUCGGGAUAACUCCGGGAAACCGGUGCUAAUACCGAAUAGUUUGCCGCCUCUCCUGAGGCGGCACGGAAAGACGGUUUCGGCUGUCACUGCAGGAUGGGCCCGCGGCGCAUAGCUAGUUGGUGGGGUAAUGGCCUACCAAGGCGACGAUGCGUAGCCGACCUGAGAGGGUGAUCGGCCACACUGGGACUGAGACACGGCCCAGACUCCUACGGGAGGCAGCAGUAGGGAAUCUUCCGCAAUGGACGCAAGUCUGACGGAGCAACGCCGCGUGAGUGACGAAGGUUUUCGGAUCGUAAAACUCUGUUGUGAGGGAAGAACACGUGCCAACUAACUACUGCACCUUGACGGACCUCACCAGAAGC